GAUGAACGCUGGCGGCGUGCCUAAUACAUGCAAGUAGAACGCUGAAGGAGGAGCUUGCUCUUCUGGAUGAGUUGCGAACGGGUGAGUAACGCGUAGGUAACCUGCCUGGUAGCGGGGGAUAACUAUUGGAAACGAUAGCUAAUACCGCAUAACAGUAGAUAUUGCAUGAUAUCUGCUUGAAAGGGGCAAUUGCUCCACUACCAGAUGGACCUGCGUUGUAUUAGCUAGUUGGUGAGGUAACGGCUCACCAAGGCGACGAUACAUAGCCGACCUGAGAGGGUGAUCGGCCACACUGGGACUGAGACACGGCCCAGACUCCUACGGGAGGCAGCAGUAGGGAAUCUUCGGCAAUGGACGGAAGUCUGACCGAGCAACGCCGCGUGAGUGAAGAAGGUUUUCGGAUCGUAAAGCUCUGUUGUAAGAGAAGAACGAGUGUGAGAGUGGAAAGUUCACACUGUGAC
rnacentral:rRNA from 1 species